UACGUAGGGACCAAGCGUUGUUCGGAUUUACUGGGCGUAAAGGGCGCGUAGGCGGCGUGGUAAGUCACUUGUGAAAUCUCUGAGCUUAACUCAGAACGGCCAAGUGAUACUGCAGUGCUAGAGUGCAGAAGGGGCAAUCGGAAUUCUUGGUGUAGCGGUGAAAUGCGUAGAUAUCAAGAGGAACACCUGAGGUGAAGACGGGUUGCUAGGCUGACACUGACGCUGAGGCGCGAAAGCCAGGGGAGCAAACGGG
rnacentral:rRNA from 1 species